UACAGAGGAGCCAAGCGUUGUCCGGAUUGACUGGGCGUAAAGCGCACGCAGGCGGACGCGCGCGUGGGGUGUGAAAUCUGGCCGCUUAACGGCCAGGCGCCAUCCCAUACGGCGGGUCUGGAGUGAUGCAGAGGGCGGUGGAAUUGCCGGUGUAGUGGUGAAAUUCGUAGAUAUCGGGAGGAACACCGGUGGCGAAGGCGGCGACCUGGGUAGAUACUGACGCUGAGGUGCGAAAGCGUGGGGAGCAAACAGG
rnacentral:rRNA from 1 species